UCAAUGUAUUUAUGUAGUGGUAAAGUGCUAGAAAGUUCUUUCAUUAGUAUUUUUUAAAUCAUUAGAGUAAAAAGUUUGUAGCUUCAUUUGAUGGUAGUGACCACAGGCACCAUAGCAAUGGCCCUGGCUGAGCUGGACUUGACUAUGUCUUCAUAUUCUGGGGGUGGAUCUAAAUGAGGUUCUGUUUCACUCCUCCACAGGUUCACCUGGCCAGUGGCUUCCUCAUAGUUUGGUGGUGGAUCAUAGUUGGACAGGCGAGUGGAGACAGAAUCUGAGCACCCAACUACAUAUUCCAGAAAGCCUGGAGACACUCCUUUGCUAUCAAACACUUCGUCUUGUGGUGGAGGAGGAGUGACAGUAUUAAGGUGCUCAGGGAAAGGAAUGUGGCCUUCAGUCACUGUCUACGAGCUUUGUUUCUUAGGAAGCAUCUCUAGAUUAGGAAAAUGACAAGGAGGACAAUGAAGAGGCCAAAGACUAAUGGAAAGCCCAUCAAACUGUUCUCAAGCCAGCCCACUUCAUGCCCUUGGUGGAGAAAGGAGACAGGCUGUGUAAUAAAAGAACAAAGGACUUUGGACCUGUCCCUAGCAACCUAUUUAGGAACCUUAUUUGCCAUGGACAGAGCCAUCAAC
rnacentral:lncRNA from 1 species